rnacentral:rRNA from 1 species
UUUGAUCCUGGCUCAGGAUAAAACGCUGGCGGCGCACAUAAGACAUGCAAGUCGAACGAACUUAAUCUCUUGCUUGCAAGAGAAGCGGUUAGUGGCGGACUGGUGAGUAACACGUAAGAAAUCUGCCUAUCAGAGGGGAAUAACAGUGAGAAAUCACUGCUAAUACCGCAUAUGCCAUAGGGUUCGCAUGAACCUAGUGGGAAAGGAGCAAUCCGCUGAUAGAUGAGCUUGCGUCUGAUUAGCUAGUUGGUGGGGUAAAGGCCUACCAAGGCAACGAUCAGUAGCCGGACUGAGAGGUUGAACGGCCACAUUGGGACUGAGAUACGGCCCAGACUCCUACGGGAGGCAGCAGUCGGGAAUAUUGCGCAAUGGAGGAAACUCUGACGCAGUGACGCCGCGUAUAGGAAGAAGGUUUUCGGAUUGUAAACUAUUGUCCACAGGGAAGAUAAAAGACUGUACCUGUGAAGAAAGCUCCGGCUAACUACGUG